GAUGAACGCUAGCUACAGGCUUAACACAUGCAAGUCGAGGGGAAACGAUAUUGGAAGCUUGCUUCUGAUAGGCGUCGACCGGCGCACGGGUGAGUAACGCGUAUCCAACCUGCCCAUCACUUGGGGAUAACCUUGCGAAAGUAAGACUAAUACCCAAUGACGUCUCUAGAAGACAUCUGAAAGAGAUUAAAGAUUUAUCGGUGAUGGAUGGGGAUGCGUCUGAUUAGCUUGUUGGCGGGGUAACGGCCCACCAAGGCGACGAUCAGUAGGGGUUCUGAGAGGAAGGUCCCCCACAUUGGAACUGAGACACGGUCCAAACUCCUACGGGAGGCAGCAGUGAGGAAUAUUGGUCAAUGGACGAGAGUCUGAACCAGCCAAGUAGCGUGCAGGAUGACGGCCCUAUGGGUUGUAAACUGCUUUUAUAAGGGAAUAAAGUGGGAGUCGUGACUCUUUUUGCAUGUACCUUAUGAAUAAGGACCGGCUAAUUCCGUGCCAGCAGCCG
rnacentral:rRNA from 1 species